CGUAGGCGGAAGUUGAGCUGUCUGCUCACGAACGCUGCAGGCCUUAGAACACCGUUCUGUUCUGAAAACAAACAUUUGUUGGGCGAUCAACGUUGCAGUUCAGUUGUUAGGAAGUUAUGAAGUUAGUUGAAGUGUAAAUAAAACCGUCAGAUUGCUGUUGUUUAACACGUCAAUCUUGCCCGUCUUGUGUCGUAUCAGACAGCUUCACCUCUCGAUUUAUAUAACGUGGCCCGAAGAGAGGGCAUAUCUGAAGCUGAGACAUGGUGAGACCGCGUACAGGAUCACCUCGAAUGAAGCACAGAUCCUACAUGAGUGACUUCGGUUCUCAGAAUGGUGGAGAACAUCCCCGGCCCUUCCGUAGUGGUAGAGGAGGCGGUCCUGGGAAGGCCCCUCCCAGUUGGAGAGAGGCUCCUAACAGGGGCCGCAAGGCCCCCUACCCUGACAGACAGUCAGCGCCAUGGCAACAGAAGAGCCCUCAGGGCCGGGACCGUGGACAGUCUUCCUGGCAGACCAAGAGCCAGGAGAGUUACAUGGGAUACGCUUCCCAGCCCUCCGACAGCCACCGUCACUAUGGAGACCCAGCAAACAGACCAGGCCCUGCCCAACGCAGACCUUCACCCCAUGAACCCGCCUCGGGCCGAUCGCACCACAGGCAGUAUGACGGAGGACCUAGAAGGUUUGAGUCCCGCCCCCCGAUUCCAGACCAUCGGAGCCACAAGCAGGUCCAUCCACAGCCCCCCCAUCACAGGAGUCCCUUCCGGCCCCCCACCAGACAGGAGGAGCGGCCCUGGGGCAGGUCCCAGUCUCCCAGCUACCCCUCCCGGCCUCCGCCCAAACCCCAGCAUGUCAGCCAGGCAGGAGAUAGAGGCCGUGGCAGGGGCAGAGGUCGCCGGGGCCGUGGUUCUGGUAACGGCUGUGGUAGGGAGACUUUCUGGAGUGAGAGAGGCCCAGACAGGAGCCACCCUUACACCAGCACUCGACCCCACCACCCUCAGCCACGGAAUGGCGAGGGCCGCUGUCCGUCUGACUCCCCCUUGAGAAAAGAGCGAGAGUUUCACAGCCGAGAGAGGUACCAGAGUCCUCAAGUUGUGGUGCAAGCUGGGUGGUCUUCAUCCACUGGGAGGGAUUGCAACGAGAGGAGAAGCCGAGAGAGGGAGCGCAUGGGGUCAGGCCGCCAUGGUAACGAGCCAGAGCACUGGCCACCCCCUAACCCUUCUCAGUACAGGCCCCCACCACACACGCCCUCAUGGAAAGCUGGACCACCUCCUGGGCCUCACCCCUCAAAGCUAUCAGCUGCACGGAGAUUCCAGAGCCACCAGACCCCGAGAGGUCCUGACAGAGGAAGCUCUGGCUACAAGCGGAAGUAUCCAGAAAUGCUGGAACAGCCACGCCCACCCCCACCUCUUUUCAGGCAUUUUCGACGGGACCCAUCAGUGGCCCCUCCCCUCAGAGGCUUUGGGGGGCGUGGCUUGUCUUUACGUGACAAGAGCCGCCUAAUGAAGAACCGGAAAUUUCGUGAGGAGUCUGUUGCCCGUUUUAAGACUAUGCCCCCUCCUCCCCCUGCCAUAAGAGGGCGCCCUGCCCCGCUGCAGAAUCGCAUGGCCUACAGACCGUUUCCCCGGCAACAGACAACAGAGCAUCAUGAGGCGGCCCCAGCCAGGAAGUUUCCCAAAAGGUCAAGCCCUUCCAGGAAAGCCAGCUCCGAUCACAGCCCAGACCCUGAGAACCCUGUGUCUGAUGGCGAUCAAGAUCAGCCCAGAUCACCCCAAUACCGGCGAUCCUCCAGCCGGCACAGGUAUGGUAUCCCUCCCUACCCUCCACCUUAACAGCUAACAGACCACACCUUUGGCCUUGUUCCAAAUCCUACCGACGGCCACGUCAUGCUUAUAGGCUCCUGUUCUGCUAUCUGCAUAUCUAAUUACCGACCUAAGAGCAAACAACAAAAAAGCUGGCUACUGUUAAGUUUCAGAGACGUCGCCGUUUACAGCUAUAAGGGGCUGGUGAAGUAAAGGAAUGAAAACUGAGUAAUGAGAAAAACAGACCAGAUUUUUUUUGAGUGAUACGUGGUGAAGCAUGGUGAUAACCAGCAGGUUUGAAGAUGGAGAGGGAUCACUCAUUUCAACCCAGAAGUCAACCUACAGGGUCAUCAGCAGACUAUCCAGAAUCCAGGAAUGUCUUCCCCCAGCUUGCAAUCAGAGACCAGGACGAAUUAAUUGAUCCUGCGUAUACACAUGUAACUGUUCACUCCGGUAACUGUGCAAGCAGAGAAGCUGUUCUGUGUACUUCCAUAACAAACUCCGGGGCUGGGAUGUCGUCACCAGUGUCACUGAAAUUAUGAUGUUGCCCGUUCUUCUGUAAUGUAACAGCGUGAGAUGCAAAUGAAAGACUCCCCACCCAGUGGCCUCCACCCAACCCCAACAUGGUCAGAGCUUUGGAGGACGGUGAAUGAAGAUUGCGAGGAAAGAAAGUAUAUAAAUGCAUGAAGAGUCCUUUCAAUGGUGUUGCGAAUUAAGUUUGGUCUUCAUCUGCACAAAGUUCAAGUACAGCACUAGGCUUUUAUUGGACCCCUACAUCUGGAAAAACUACCCCUGUCAUUCAGUCAGAGUGGUAGUGCCAGUUAGAAUUUUUUGACUGAGGUACCCUUCGUCAUUAUGUAGCUUAACACCUGACUAUCCCUUUGCCAUGUUAUAAGUUAACACCUGGCCAACCGUUAAGCACCCUUUGCCAUAUUAAUAUAUCUGAACAGCUGAAACAAAAAUUGAACUGAACUAAAGCAGCUUAUGCAAGAUGGUUCUUGAUGUCUGAAGACUAUAUCUGAUCAAAUUCUACUACAGUGACUGAGAUUCUGCAGCAAGCCCUGAUGGACCCCACUGAUACCCAAAGUCACUAGCAUUGGUAUUUUCAGUACAUCUGAUUCAUGACUUGUGAUUUUUGCAGAGUAUAGUGCAGUGGCAAGAAGAUCACUGUAGGCCACUUGUAGUCAUGGACUAUGGAAUAUACUUUAUUACCAAGACCAAGAUUCAGUAUGGCUGAUAUUUUAUGAACCGAUAGAGGAAUUGAAUAUGUACCAUUCCAUUUAGCCCACCUGUUUCCUUCUGAUUGUUAUAAAUUAGCUACGAAGCAUUAGGCACCCCCUCUGUUCAGAAAAGUGGAAGGUCCAUGCACAAAAUGACCGAUCGCAUUUCUGUCCCAGAAGAACCGGUGAGGAAUGAAGAAUUAAACUUCUUCGACCUCACACAUCAGAUCUGGUGCCCGCACAUUUUCUGAAUCUGUUGUUUCUGCUACCCAAGUAACUGUGACCAUUUGGACUGUGAGUCCUCACCUGCUCCUGGCUCUUCAAGCAAUCAAUCCAAGAUGGCACUUAUACCAAAUGCCAAGACUGAAGUUGACCAUGACCUAGAUUAAAGCAUGGUGAAACAGGCCACUUGAUUUAACUUCAUAUGAGUGGAACAAAGUGGUUUGAAGCUAAUGAAGAUCUUAAUCAAGCUGAUGUUGGCAAAUAACCGCGUGGAGGCGUGACGUUGCAGAGAGAGAAGUCAAGACUCUAUAACUACACAAUGGAUAAAUCAGAACAUCAUCAAGGUAUCCCAUGUAGCGACUCCGAAACAAACGGUAAAUCAGAACCUAGACGAUGGGUAAAUCAGAACAUCAUCAAUGUAUCCCGUGUAGCAACAAUCAGAUGAUGAGGAAAUCAGAAAAUCAACAAUGUUUCCCAUGCAGGGACAUGAAGUCUUGAAUCCCCUUAAGUCAAGCCAUGCGACAGAAUAUCUGCCUUGGUAGCCAAGAUUUUAUGAUCCUUUUGCUAAGAAGCAUAUUGAGAAUGGACUAACUCAGAGUUAUGGUUGCUGCUCUAUACAAACGACACAACACUCCUAUGGCAUGGCUAUAUGUUUGAAGUACCCUUGAGAUGAAGUACACACAAGUUUAACCAAGAAUCAGAGGAAGGAACCUCUCCGGAAGCCUCUCCGAAGGAACAAGAGAAACGAUUGAUGGACGGAUAAGGAAUAGGCUAGUUUGGAACCAGCUCACCACCCAAUCCCCCACCCUGCCAGAAGGCUUCUAGCCAUGCUGACAUACAAAAGUGCUUGAGGUCUUUAAAAGCUAGAGAAACGAUGGAUGGACGGAUAAGAAAUAGGCUAGUUUGGAACCAGCUCACCACCCAAUCCCCCACCCUGCCAGAAGGCUUCUAGCCACACUGACAUACAAAAGUGCCUGAGGUCUUUGAAAGCUAGAUAACUCGCAAGAUGCAUUUUUUCCUGAAAAAAGGGAUUGGUUAAGUUCGUCUACCUUGGCUACAUUUUUUGCAAGACCAGAGGUUACUCACAAAAACACACAACCUUGACCGCCCCUCCCCCCGUUUGAUGUACAGUCAUAAUGAUACAGAGCUUGGAGUUUGGAGUUGUUUGGUCCCAAUCCCAUUGGACCAGCAUCUUCCAAGUGAUCUGGUGGUGGUGUCCCAUUGGCAGGCUGAAAAUGACGGGGAUUGUGAUGACCAGGGAGAUGCUAAAGAGACUUCGGAUAUCCAGAGUGACCUCAUCAGUGGUCCACAGGAGCCACCACCUGAGGCCACUGCCCCGGCACAGGAUCAGAGCCUUCAAAACAAGAGGUGUGU